rnacentral:rRNA from 1 species
AGAGUUUGAUCAUGGCUCAGAUUGAACGCUGGCGGCAGGCCUAACACAUGCAAGUCGAGCGAACCUAGCUUGCUAGGUGAGCGGCGAACGGGUGAGUAACGCGUAGGAAUCUGCCUGGUAGUGGGGGACAACGUUCCGAAAGGAACGCUAAUACCGCAUACGCCCUACGGGGGAAAGUGGGGGAUCUUCGGACCUCACGCUAUCAGAUGAGCCUGCGUCGGAUUAGCUAGUUGGUAGGGUAAAGGCCUACCAAGGCGACGAUCCGUAACUGGUCUGAGAGGAUGAUCAGUCACACCGGAACUGAGACACGGUCCGGACUCCUACGGGAGGCAGCAGUGGGGAAUAUUGGACAAUGGGGGCAACCCUGAUCCAGCCAUGCCGCGUGUGUGAAGAAGGCCUUCGGGUUGUAAAGCACUUUAGGUCGGGAGGAAGGUUCGCUGGCUAAUAUCCAGCGGAAUUGACGUUACCGACAGAAUAGCACCGGCUAACUCCGUGCCAGCAGCCGCGGUAAUAC